rnacentral:rRNA from 1 species
CCUACGGGAGACUGCAGUGAGGAAUAUUGGUCAAUGGGCGGGAGCCUGAACCAGCCACGUCGCGUGAGGGAAGACGGUCCUAUGGAUUGUAAACCUCUUUAGGCGGGGAGCAAUGCCGGGCACGCGUGCCCGGAGGGAGAGUACCCGCAGAAUAAGCAUCGGCUCACUCAGUGCCAGCAGCCGCGGUAAUACGGAGGAUGCGAGCGUUAUGCGGAUUUAAUGGGUUUAAAGGGUGCGCAGGAGGAUAUGUAAGUCAGCGGGAAAAUGUUCGGGCUAAACCCGGGCAGGCCUUUGAAACUGGGUAUCUUGAGUGGGCGAGAAGUGUGCGGAAUGCGUGGUGUAGCGGUGAAAUGCAUAGAUA